UACUCGUCCAUGACAUUAGACAUAUUUCUUCUUCAUUCUCUUUCUCCUUAGAGUUACAGACCUUGGGCGUUUCUGUCGUUGUAGUUUUUGCCUUAUCAAUAGCUUUAAAGACUAUUAGUAGUAUUCCUAGGGAGAUUUACAGGAAGCUGUUUUCUGAUGACCAGCACAUACACUUCACUUUCAUUCAACCACCCUCAGAGCGCUGGAUCUCAGUGUUGGACAAGAUCUCAGAGCUCUGCAAAUCUAAUCCCCGCUGAGUAGGAAUGGCUUCUGUAAUCCUGUGUCACGUCAUCCCUGCUUGGACAACUAGCUGCCAAGAGCUCGUGGUAUGCAGCUGAAAUGCACUGCUGGAUGAUGUCGGACUGCUGCCUACGCCCACCAGCCCUCCAGCUAAUUUUCCCUCUCAAAGCCGCAACCAACAAGGCCUAAUCCCUGUUCCAUAUGGCGACCCGUAAGAGGCCUGAAAUACUGGAGCAUGUUUGCUUGAAGUUAUUUCCUCCUUUCUAUCAAAAAUAUUUUCUCUCCCCCCUCCUUUCUCUUUCUCUUAAGCACAUGAAGUUUUGUCUCCCAAUGCAAGAGGUUUCCUUUGACAUUAAUUUCUCCUUCAGUAGUCAACAGUCACAUUCCUUAGAGAGAAGGUUUUUUCAUGGAAUUAAUUCCUCCUUCCCCUCAGAAAUGUUUUCUCUCACUGCUUGGGCUUUAAAUCUUUAAAGACAUUAGACAUUAGACAUGUAUUCUAAAAGCUGAAAAUGCCCAGUGAAGAGCAAGAAUGGAUUAUUUAGAGAAGAGAAUGUACCUGGAGCUACUGCUACCUAUGACAUCACAGAACUCUCUCCUUGUUUCUUUUUCUGAGUUAACCAUAAAGACCUGAGGUUUUGUUCUCAUGUCUAAGAAUGAAGCUCUUUUUCUUCUUUUCUGGACCAACCUUAAAUAAGAGAAAGCAUCUUAGAGAAAGGGUUUUUGCAUGAAGUUUUUUUACCUAGUCCAUAUAAAUUCUUUUUUACAAAUUCUUUUUUUAACCUUACAAAAUUUUUUUAGGGGCUUCCCUGGUGGCGCAGUGGUUGAGAGUACGCCUGCCGAUGUGGGGGACACGGAUUCGUGCCCUGGUCCGGGAAGAUCCCACAUGCCGCAGAGUGGCUAGGCCCGUAAAAAAAAAAAAAAAAAAUUUAACCUUACAAAUUCUUUUUUUAACCUUAAUUUUAAUCCUGCAUCUCUGUUUUCUUAUCUGAAAAAUUGUUGCAUAUAUUUUCUUCCACUCCCCAGUCUUAAAGAUCAGGGAUGCAAGAGUCUAUUUGCUUCCGUUACCAAAGUAUUGUUUUCCACACCUUAGCAUUAUAGAUCUGUGGAUUUGUUAUCUCUUUUAAUGAAGGGACAAAAGUUACAAACUGGCAACUUAGAGAAAGAGAGAUACAACUGGGACCAAUGACCAGUUCUAGGACAGUUCUGAGACCUAGAACCUACUGACUGAAAAGGAUGCCUAAUCCCCUUGAUAAAAGACCUUGCAAUGCCUCGUCAAAUACAUACAUAAGCACUUCCCUAUUCCUUCCUCAAAGGAAUCUGCGGCUAUUUUCUAGACACGCUAAGGAAAGGGGAAUACCCAGACCUACUGGAUACACAGUCUGGACUGACAGUGAUGCCAUGGGACCUAACAUGCCAUCAUAGUUCCCAAGUGAGAGUGAAGCUUAUGAAAGCAAGGAGAGAAAUGGUGUCUUAGCCCAAGUUCAUCUCAUGGUGGGUACAAUGUGUGCAUGAAUGUUGUGGGGUCCCUGAGUGCAUCCUUGGGAUGGAUAUACUUAAAAACAGGAAAACCCCUCAUAUUUAUUCCUUGACUUGUUCAGUAAGAGUCACUACGGUAGAAAUGGCCAAGUGAAAGCCUCUGAAAUUACCUGCUUCCUCUUCCAGCCAUGAUAGUAUAUCGGAAGGGAUACCAUAUACUGGGAAGAAUUACAGAAAUUCGUACCACCUUCAAAGUAUUAAAGAAAGCAGAGAUGGUGGUCCCCAUCACAUUCCAGUUUAAUUUACCUUUCUAAUCCUGAAAAAAGGAAAAAGAAAAAAGAUUGACAGCUGCUGGUUCACUACCAUAAACUGAUAUAAACUUAAGCAAAGGGUAGUCCCAAUCACAGGUGCUAUAUCAGAUGUGAUACCUUUACUGAAACAGAACAACAUAGCUUCUGUCACUUGGUAUACACUACUGACCUGGCAGG